rnacentral:tRNA from 1 species
GAUACUAUACUUUAUUUAGAAGAUUUGGUUUGCAACUAAACAGAGAGCAAGGCUCUAGUACCA